UACAGAGACUGCAAGCGUUAUUCGGAUUCACUGGGCGUAAAGGGUGCGCAGGCGGUUGGGUGUGUCAGAUGUGAAAUCCCGAGGCUUAACCUCGGAACUGCGUCUGAAACUACUCGACUAGAGUACUGGAGAGGGAAACGGAAUUCACGGUGUAGCAGUGAAAUGCGUAGAUAUCGUGAGGAACACCAGAGGCGAAGGCGGUUUCCUGGACAGUUACUGACGCUCAGGCACAAAAGCAUGGGGAGCAAAAGGG
rnacentral:rRNA from 1 species